rnacentral:rRNA from 1 species
AACGAACGCUGGCGGCAGGCUUAACACAUGCAAGUCGAGCGCCCCGCAAGGGGAGCGGCAGACGGGUGAGUAACGCGUGGGCAUCUACCCAUCUCUACGGAAUAACGCAUGGAAACGUGUGCUAAUACCGUAUACGUCCUUCGGGAGAAAGAUUUAUCGGCGAUGGAUGUGCCCGCGUUGGAUUAGCUAGUUGGUGGGGUAAAGGCCUACCAAGGCGACGAUCCAUAGCUGGUCUGAGAGGAUGAUCAGCCACACUGGGACUGAGACACGGCCCAGACUCCUACGGGAGGCAGCAGUGGGAAAUAUUGGACAAUGGGCGCAAGCCUGAUCCAGCCAUGCCGCGUGAGUGAUGAAGGCCCUAGGGUUGUAAAGCUCUUUCACCGGUGAAGAUAAUGACGGUAACCGGAGAAGAAGCCCCGGCUAACUUCGUGCCAGCCGCCGCCGUAACAC